rnacentral:rRNA from 1 species
UACGUAGGGGGCAAGCGUUGUCCGGAUUUAUUGGGCGUAAAGAGCGUGUAGGCGGCUUUACAGGUCCGUUGUGAAAACUCGAGGCUCAACCUCGAGACGCCGGUGGAAACCGUAAGGCUAGAGUCCGGAAGAGGAGAGUGGAAUUCCUGGUGUAGCGGUGAAAUGCGCAGAUAUCAGGAGGAACACCCGUGGCGAAGGCGACUUCCUGGCCUGUUCUUGACGCUGAGGCGCGAAAGCUAGGGGAGCAAACGGG